AUUGAACGCUGGCGGCAUGCUUUACACAUGCAAGUCGAACGGUAACAGGCCGCGAGGUGCUGACGAGUGGCGGACGGGUGAGUAAUGCAUCGGAACGGGCCCAGUCGUGGGGGAUAACUACUCGAAAGAGUAGCUAAUACCUCAUACGAUCUAUGAGUGAAAGCGGGGGACCGUAAGGCCUAGCGCGAUUGGAGCGGCCGAUGUCAGAUUAGGUAGGUGGUGGGUUAAAGUCGCACCAAGCCAAGGACCGGUAGCUGGCCUGAGAGGACGACCAGCCACACUGGGACUGAGACACGGCCCAGCCUCCUACGGGAGGAAGCAGUGGGGAAUUUUGGACAAUGGGCGCAAGCCUGAUCCAGCAAUGCCGCGUGCAGGAAGAAGGCCUUCGGGUUGUAAACUGCUUUUGUACGGAACGAAACGGCUCUGGUUAAUACCCGCGGAUAAUGACGGUACCGUAAGAAUAAGCACCGGCUAACUACGUG
rnacentral:rRNA from 1 species